rnacentral:rRNA from 1 species
AUGCUUAGGGCUGUUUUGAAGAAUAACAAGAAAAUGUGGGAAGAAUGCUUGCCUCAUAUUGAAUUUGCUUAUAAUCGUUCAUUGCAUUCUACUACUAAGAUGUGCCCUUUUGAAAUUGUGUAUGGUUUCCUACCUCGUGCACCUAUUGAUUUGUUGCCUCUUCCAUCUUCAGAGAAGGUUAAUUUUGAUGCUAAAGAACGUUCUGAAUUGAUUUUAAAAAUGCAUGAGUUAACUAAGGAAAACAUUGAGCGUAUGAAUGCUAAAUAUAAACUUGCUGGAGAUAAGGGUAGAAAACAUGUUGUGUUUGCUCCUGGAGAUCUUGUUUGGUUACAUUUGCGUAAAGAUAGAUUUCCUAAUCUGCGCAAAUCAAAGCUAAUGCCACGUGCUGAUGGUCCUUUUAAGGUGUUAGAGAAAAUAAAUGAUAAUGCAUAUAAACUUGAGCUACCUGUAGAUUUUGGGGUUAGUCCCACUUUUAACAUUGCAGAUUUGAAGCCUUAUUUGGGUGAGGAAGAUGUGCUUCCAUCGAGGACGACUUCAUUUCAAGAAGGGGAGGAUGAUGAGGACAUCAGUACCAUUGUUACACCCACAGCCCCUAUUGUUACAUAUACUGGACCAAUUACUAGAGCUCGCGCACGCCAGUUAAAUUACCAGAUGGAAGAGGCAACAAAUCAAUAG